UACGGUCGCAAGAUUAAAACUCAAAGGAAUAGACGGGGACCCGCACAAGUGGUGGAGCAUGUGGUUUAAUUCGAAGAUACGCGAAGAACCUUACCUAGCCUUGACAUAUUAAAGAACACCCUAGAGAUAGAGUGGUGCCUUCGGGAGCUUUUUUACAGGUGCUGCACGGCUGUCGUCAGCUCGUGUCGUGAGAUGUUGGGUUAAGUCCCGCAACGAGCGCAACCCUCGUCACUAGUUACUAACGGUUCGGCCGAGGACUCUAGUGAGACUGCCUUCGUAAGGAGGAGGAAGGUGAGGACGACGUCAAGUCAUCAUGGCCCUUACGGCUAGGGCAACACACGUGCUACAAUGGCCAGGACAAUGAGACGCGAUACCGCGAGGUGGAGCAAAUCUAUAAACCUGGUCUCAGUUCGGAUUGUAGUCUGCAACUCGACUACAUGAAGCUGGAAUCACUAGUAAUCGUAGAUCAGCUAUGCUACGGUGAAUACGUUCCCGGGUCUUGUACUCACCGCCCGUCACACCAUGGGAGUUGAUUUCACCCGAAGCGGGGAAGCUAAACUGGCUACCCUCCACGGUGGAAUCAGCGACUGGGGUGAAGUCGUAACAAGGUAACC
rnacentral:rRNA from 1 species